rnacentral:rRNA from 1 species
UACGUAGGGGGCAAGCGUUGUCCGGAUUUAUUGGGCGUAAAGAGCGUGUAGGCGGCUGGGUAGGUCCGUUGUGAAAACUCGAGGCUCAACCUCGAGACGCCGAUGGAAACCCCCCAGCUAGAGUCCGGAAGAGGAGAGUGGAAUUCCUGGUGUAGCGGUGAAAUGCGUAGAUAUCGGGAGGAACACCAGUGGCGAAGGCGACUACCUGGCCUGUUCUUGACGCUGAGGCGCGAAAGCUAGGGGAGCAAACGGG